ACUUAGAUGAACAGGAUUGGAUUAUGGU
rnacentral:piRNA from 1 species